CUCUACCCUGAUGGGAGCCUAAACCCACUGAUCUCUUUGGACUUGAGCUGCUUGGCUGCAGAAGGAGAUGAGCAGGGAAGAAAGUAGCCCAAAUGCAAGAUGCUCAGAUGUAUGCAGAGUAUGCAAGAUGACAAACUGCUAGGUUUGGUUAAAUUGGGACUGUUAAUUAUAGCAGUUUAAAUUGGGUUCUGACUCAGAUUUUGAAUUUGUAGUGGCAAGAUGACAGCCUGGAGAAGGUGGUUGCAAAUGGCUGACUCAGAGGGUGAUGAUCAGCACGACAGUGCCUGCUGCCUAUGCUAGUACUAUGUGUUUAUAGGAGAGAUGUUAUAAGGUGACAGUCACCAGUUCAGCUCCACCCCUUGAUCUGUUCACCAGACAUUAUGGAGACUGGAACGACCAAGAGACCAAAUGGAGGAAGGAGCAUAUUAAUUGGGUAAGGACAGGGAAGAAGGCCACUCAAUCACCAAUCCAGACUGGAAUGAUGCCAAAAGUUACUGGUGUUCUAUGUGGAAUAAAGGCAGAAAGAUGGUGCACAUAAAUCAGUUUUACAGCUCUUCGCUAGCAGUUCUGAUCCAUCAGGAUUAAAUUGUCUUCAUCUAUGAACAUUUUACCUUCUGUGCAUUACAGCAUCUUCUGAGCUUCUGAGGUGAAGUUAGGGGUGCAGAUGGAGUUCAAGCAUCAUUCUUAGAAAAGAGAAGUGCUUUGGAGUACUCAGAUCAUGAUACCUUUAAAGGUGCCCAACGAGUUCAGAGCAGGCACUGUACAGGACACCUCUUUUAAAAUUGUCUCCAGCUGGGAAUCAGAAGACAAAUGAACCGUAGUCACCAGAACUUUUUGGAACUUUGGUCUUGGUUUGAAGAGCUGAACUGUGAACAUGAUAUCAUGUGAACCAUAACAGCCUCAUAAACUUAAAGCAGACCUGGACCUGAAACUCUCUUUGAAUGGCCAGGACGCAGGGCCAAUCACUUCUCCAUGCACCUCCAGCAGCAGCACUGGGGAAAACAGAGGCACAAACAUCUGCCAAACACAAGCACGCUCCCAUCUCAGGAAACAUCACACCGGAUGGUAUAAAAAAACCAUCAGACAGCCCAGUCUGUAAAGGGAACUUAAGAGUGUGUCCAUCAAGGAGGAGUUACCUGUGUUCAUAACCAAGAAGAGGACUGAGAGCUGAGAGUCUUCCCUCACCCACUGCAGAGACAGGUUCAGCUGGAAAUAAUGGUCUUACAAAGGUGAAAAUGCAACGUGCUUUGACAAGUCACCUUUAUCGAGCAGUAUUGUUUGGCUAUAUGUGGAUGUAGGACUCCAAAACCAUAUUCAAGGUUGCCCCAACACCGAGAUAUUCUCCCUCUAGAGAGAGUUUCAGCAGGCACACCUGGAGCUUUGGGAACUGGUUGAAUCCCUCCCUCCAUCUACCCACCCAUCCAGCUGAGCAGCUGUUGUCUUCACAAAGGAUCUGCACUGAACCGGCUGCAGAGCAAGUUUCCCAUUCACAGCUUUCCCUUGCCCAGUGUCAAACACGCUGAUGGGAUAUGUUCAGGCAACUUUCAUUAAGAGCAAUAUCAUCCUGGAUUUGUCCUCUGUGAUCCUGUCAACUGAUAUUUAAAUAAAUCACACUCUUCAA